rnacentral:rRNA from 1 species
AACGCGAAGAACCUUACCAGGGUUUGACAUCCUGCGAAUCUCUUGGAAACGAGAGAGUGCCUUCGGGAACGCAGUGACAGGUGGUGCAUGGCUGUCGUCAGCUCGUGUCGUGAGAUGUUGGGUUAAGUCCCGCAACGAGCGCAACCCACGUCGUUAGUUGCCAGCAUUCAGUUGGGCACUCUAGCGAGACCGCCGGUGAUAAACCGGAGGAAGGUGUGGAUGACGUCAAGUCAUCGUGCCCCUUACAUCCUGGGCUACACACGUACUACAAUGCUACGGACAAAGGGCAGCAAACUCGCGAGAGCUAGCAAAUCCCAUAAACCGUGGCUCAGUUCAGAUCGUAGGCUGCAACUCGCCUACGUGAAGGAGGAAUCGCUAGUAAUCGCAGGUCAGCAUACUGUGGUGAAUACGUUCCCGGGUCUUGUACACACCG